GGGCACAUGGUGUAGUUGGUUAUCACAUCCGCUUAGCAUAAUAUUUAUUGCCUGCGGGGGGUGCUGGGUUCAAUUCCCAGUGUGUCCA